GUAGAGAUACAGCAGCCGCUUGCGGUCUGUAUACAGGUGCUGCAUGGCUGUCGUCAGCUCGUGCUGUGAAGUGUUGGGUAAGUCCCGCAACGAGCGCAACCCUAUCAUCUGUUGCCAGCAUUUAAGGUGGGGACUCAGAUGAGACUGCCGGUGCAAACCGGAGGAAGGUGGGGACGACGUCAAGUCAUCAUGGCCCUUAUGUCCUGGGCUACACACGUGCUACAAUGGCCGGUACAGAGUGAAGCGAAACCGCGAGGUGAAGCAAAACGCAGAAAGCCGGUCUCAGUACGGAUUGGAGUCUGAAACUCGACUUCAUGAAGUUGGAAUCGCUAGUAAUCGCGCAUCAGCAUGGCGCGGUGAAUACGUUCCCGGGCCUU
rnacentral:rRNA from 1 species